UACGUAGGGUGCGAGCGUUGUCCGGAAUUAUUGGGCGUAAAGGGCUCGUAGGCGGUUUGUCGCGUCGGGAGUGAAAACUCAGGGCUUAACCCUGAGCCUGCUUCCGAUACGGGCAGACUAGAGGUAUGCAGGGGAGAAUGGAAUUCCUGGUGUAGCGGUGAAAUGCGCAGAUAUCGAGAGGAACACCAGUGGCGAAGGCGAGUCUCUGGACGACUCCUGACACUGAGGCACGAAAGCUAGGGGAGCAAACAGG
rnacentral:rRNA from 1 species